rnacentral:rRNA from 1 species
ACAUGCCUACAACAUAGUGUUAAUACAUCAGAUCCCAUUUGAACUCUGCAGUUAAGUGCGCUCAGGCUAGAGUAGUACUGGGAUGGGUGACUGCUUGAGAAGUCCUAGUGUUUUACAUGCC